rnacentral:lncRNA from 1 species
GGGUGAAUCCUGGGUUUUAUAGACGGGAAAGAGAAGACGCAUGUGUAGGGGUUUCAUCAAGAUAAAAGUCCACAUGGCCUGUGCUAGGAAAGAGCCAGUCAUAGCAUAGCACAAAGACAUUCUGCUUGUUUACACUGGAGACAAAUUUUCCUCAAUUGACGCAAUUCUAUGGAUUAAAUAAUGGCGUUCUUCCUCAUUUAAAGGGUCUUCACAGUGAGAACUGAAAGGCCUUGUUAUUCUCACCUGCUCUGAAGACUGGGGGAUGGGCCACCCCAGUCCUCCAUGGGACAAAAUCUAGGACCCAACUUGGAUGUGGUGAAAUGGAAGGAACAGAUUUCGUUCCUUACUUGUGGUGUGAGACUGAAAGAGAGCAGAUGCUACUAUCUUUCUCUCUUCCAAGCUGGACCAGACUAUAGUGCCCGGACCACUUCACCCUGCUUUUGCCAAGGUGUCUGCCUAGUCUUCUUUUCCCAUUUCCAGCUCCCUUUUAUGCCUUGUCAUGCCUUGUCUUCCUCUACUGGAAUAUAAACUCCUGGAGGGUAAGGACUCUUUCUUUUUGCUUAUAUUUGUGUCCCCAGCACUUAGCACAGUGAGUGGCAGAGAGUAAGAGCUUAAAAAAAUCCUCUCUGGGGCAGGUGCAGUAGAUAGAGCACCAGCCCUGGAGUGAAGAGGUCCUGAGUUCAAAUCUGAUCUCAGGCUAGACACUUGACACUUAUUAGCUGUGUGACCCUGGGCAAGUCACUUAACCCCAAUUGCCUUGACAAAAGAAAAAAAAAUUCUCUCUGUCUAUCUCUGUGUCUGUCUGUCUCUCUCCCUCUCUCUCCCCUUCUCUGCCUUUCUGUCUCUGUCACUCUCU